rnacentral:lncRNA from 1 species
AUUAAUGAUGCAUAAACAACAAAGGAUAUUAGAAUUUAUAUCAAUCAUCAAUCAUAUAAACCAUUCACAAUAAUAAUCAAUCUCAAAUAUAGAUAUGUAGGCAAUGUAUUCAUUUCCUCUACUCCAAUACAUGUGGUACCAUCCUACAAUAUUGGACUGAAGUCCUAUAACACUGGGUAUCAGAGUUAUAUUACUAAGGGAUCCUUGACACUGGACCGAAGUCUUACAACACUGGACUAAAGUCCUAAGCUAAUCUCUGAUAUACAUGUUUCAUGACGCUACAAACAAAUGCAAGUUAUCUCCAUCCA